rnacentral:rRNA from 1 species
CACGUAGGGCGCAAGCGUUGUCCGGAAUUAUUGGGCGUAAAGAGCUCGUAGGCGGUCCGUCACGUCCGCUGUGAAAACCCCAGGGCUCAACCCUGGGCUUGCAGUGGAUACGGGCAGACUAGAGGUAGGUAGGGGAGAAUGGAAUUCCCGGUGUAGCGGUGAAAUGCGCAGAUAUCGGGAGGAACACCGGUGGCGAAGGCGGUUCUCUGGGCCUUACCUGACGCUGAGGAGCGAAAGCGUGGGGAGCGGAACAGG